CCUACGGGAGGCAGCAGUGGGGAAUAUUGGACAAUGGGCGAAAGCCUGAUCCAGCAAUUCCGCGUGUGUGAAGAAGGCCUUCGGGUUGUAAAGCACUUUAGUGGGGGAAGAAACAGCUUGGCCACACCAAGCCUUGACGGUACCCCAAGAAUAAGCACCGGCUAACUCUGUGCCAGCAGCCGCGGUAAUACAGAGGGUGCAAGCGUUAAUCGGAUUUACUGGGCGUAAAGGGUGCGUAGGUGGCUAUUUAAGUCGGAUGUGAAAGCCCGGGGCUCAACCUCGGAAUUGCAUUCGAUACUGAGUGGCUAGAGUUCGGUAGAGGGCGGCGGAAUUUCCGGUGUAGCGGUGAAAUGCGUAGAUAUCGGAAGGAACAUCAAUGGCGAAGGCAGCCGCCUGGGCCUGGACUGACACUGAGGCACGAAAGCGUGGGUAGCAAACAGGAUUAGAUACCCUGGUAGUCCACGCCGUAAACGAUGAGAACUUGACGUUGGUUCGUUUUACGAAUCGGUGUCGCAGCUAACGCGAUAAGUUCUCCGCCUGGGGAGUACGGCCGCAAGGUUGAAACUUAAAGGAAUUGACGG
rnacentral:rRNA from 1 species